GACGGAAGGUGCAAGCGUUGCUCGGAAUCACUGGGCGUAAAGGGUGCGUAGGCGGCCGUGCAAGUCUGGCGUGAAAGCCCCGGGCUCAGCCCGGGAAGUGCGCUCGAAACUGCGCGGCUCGAGUGCCGGAGGGGAGAGUGGAAUUCCUGGUGUAGCGGUGAAAUGCGUAGAUAUCAGGAGGAAUACCGGUGGCGAAAGCGACUCUCUGGACGGUACUGACGCUGAGACGCGAAAGCGUGGGGAGCGAACAGG
rnacentral:rRNA from 1 species